CAGGAUUUGGACAAAAAAAGACUGAAAUAAUAUUUUAACCUGCUUACAGGGAUUCAAACCCAUCUCUCUCAGCAGAGUGCCCUAAUCACUCUGUGGUUUAGGGAAGGAAGCACACUCCACAUGCCUACUGCUGAAAUUGCUCCAGGAUUCACUGGUGGAGGGAGAAGAACUAGGAGAGGCAGAUGGAAAACAGAUUGUAUUCCUGUGGAAAACUCCAGGAAAAUAAGAAAUAUUUUAUGUCAUUGCUGUAUUCCAACUACUGCAAUUGUUUUCACCUUGUUUUACUGUUAUAUUGACCUUCACCCAAAUAUUUGCAUAGCACAAAUAUAGGGAUGAAGACAGAUUUCUCCUCUCUAGUUCUUUUAAAUGAUGCAUAUACCCCAUUUUAAUAAUAUGUUUAUAUCUCAGUGACUUUUAAUAAAUGGUGG
rnacentral:lncRNA from 1 species